ACGCUCGACACCUACGGGAGGCGGCAGUCGGGAAUAUUGCGCAAUGGAGGAAACUCUGACGCAGUGACGCCGCGUAUAGGAAGAAGGUUUUCGGAUUGUAAACUAUUGUCGUUAGGGAAGAGAAAGGACAGUACCUAAGGAGGAAGCUCCGGCUAACUACGUGCAGCAGCCGCGGUAAUCUGAGCGGGCUGGCAAGGC
rnacentral:rRNA from 1 species